AGCGAACGCUGGCGGCAGGCCUAACACAUGCAAGUCGAACGAACCUUUCGGGGUUAGUGGCGGACGGGUGAGUAACACGUGGGAACGUGCCUUUAGGUUCGGAAUAACUCAGGGAAACUUGUGCUAAUACCGAAUGUGCCCUACGGGGGAAAGAUUUAUCGCCUUUAGAGCGGCCCGCGUCUGAUUAGCUAGUUGGUUGAGGUAAUGGCUCACCAAGGCGACGAUCAGUAGCUGGUCUGAGAGGAUGAUCAGCCACAUUGGGACUGAGACACGGCCCAAACUCCUACGGGAGGCAGCAGUGGGGAAUCUUGCGCAAUGGGCGAAAGCCUGACGCAGCCAUGCCGCGUGAAUGAUGAAGGUCUUAGGAUUGUAAAAUUCUUUCACCGGGGACGAUAAUGACGGUACCCGGAGAAGAAGCCCCGGCUAACUUCGUG
rnacentral:rRNA from 1 species